rnacentral:misc_RNA from 1 species
GAAAUGCGAUAAGUAAUGUGAAUUGCAGAAUUCAGUGAAUCAUCGAAUCUUUGUACGCACCUUGCGCUCCUUGGUAUUCCUUGGAGCAUGCCUGUUUGAGUAUCAUGAAAUCUUCAAAGUAAAUCUUUUGUUAACUCAAUUGGUUUCUACUUUGGUAUUGGAGGUCUUUGCAGCUUCACACCUGCUCCUCUUUGUUCAUUAGCUGGAUCUCAGUGUUAUGCUUGGUUCCACUCGGCGUGAUAAGUUAUCUAUCGCUGAGGACACUGUAAAAGGUGGCCAAGGUAAAUGCAGAUGAACCGCUUCUAAUAGUCCAUUGACUUGGACAAUACUUUUAUGAUCUGAUCUCAAAUCAGGUAGGACUACCCGCUGAACUUAAGC